UACAGAGGGUGCGAGCGUUAAUCGGAUUUACUGGGCGUAAAGGGUGCGUAGGCGGUUAUGUGAGUGUGAUGUGAAAGCCCCGGGCUUAACCUGGGAAGAGCAUUGCAAACGAUAUGACUGGAGUAGUUGAGAGGGUGAUGGAAUUUCCGGUGUAGCGGUGAAAUGCGCAGAUAUCGGGAGGAACACCUAUGGCGAAGGCAGCUCGCUGGGACGUUACUGACGCUGAGACGCGAAAGCGUGGGGAGCAAACAGG
rnacentral:rRNA from 1 species